rnacentral:pre_miRNA from 1 species
UUAAAUCAAAUUUGUAUGGAUUUGAAACGUUUGCCUACGUUUGCCGCUAGGGGCGCUGUUUCAACAGCAUACAAAGGAGAA